CACAAAAGAGCAUUACUAUUUUCACUUCGGUCAUCUCAGUACAUGGUCCUGCCACUGUCAUUGUCAGAUCAUGAGAACACCAGAAAAUAGUGGAAAGAGAGCUUGAUAUUUGUCAUAUACUUAAUUAGAUACAAUAGACAGAUUUUUUCAUUUUAGAAAUAGAGUUUGAGUUGAAAUGUUAUGGUCACUCCACAUACUGAUGGGUGAUUCCAUGAUUACAGGCUCAGGUAAAAGAUCUCCAGCCAGUGCUUCUCAAAUAACUUUAUUACAUACCAGAGCCACCAGGGGAGCCUGUGGAACUACAGAUUCUGAGUUAGAAAGUCUGGGGUGGAGCCCAAGACUCUUGCUUUCUGGACAAGCUCCAGGUGAUUUCUGAUGCUGCAAGUCUGGCUUUAGAUAACAGCUGCUAAGUUUGCCUGAGGAUGAAAGCUUGAGUAAACUCUGAAUACUGAUGUUACAGGACUCCAGCACUUUCUAACUAUAUACAUUUGAACAUAAGAGACAGAUUUUAUAGCUAAAAAGGUUUGGCUUUUUGUAUAUAUUUCUUAUUGAUACAAAUAUGUGUACAUGUAUAUGGGGGCACAAAUAUGAUACUCUAUCACAUGCUUACACUGUGUAAUGAUCAAAUUAGGGGUUUGGGGCAUCUAUCACCUCGAGUAUUCGUCAUUUCUGUGUGUUGGCAUUAUUCCAAGUCCUCUUUUCUAGCUAUUUUGAAAUCUACAAUACAUUGUUGUUAACUAUGGUCAUCCUACACUGCUAUCGAACAUUAGAACUUAUUCCUUCUAAGGUAUGUUUGUAACCAUUAACUAACCUCGUUUUAUCCUCCCCCCACCCACUGACACAUCUUCCCAGCACAGCCACUGUGAAAAACAGUAUGGAGAUUUCUCAAAACAAUUAAAAACAGAAUUAACAUAUUAAUAGAUCCAGCAAUCCUACUACUGGGUAUUUGCCCAAAUGUAAAGAAAUCAGAUGUCAAGGAUAUUUGCACGUGCGCGUUUAUUGAAGCACUAUUCACAAUAGCAAUGAUA
rnacentral:lncRNA from 10 species